rnacentral:rRNA from 1 species
CGCGGCCUAUCAGCUUGUUGGUGGGGUGAUGGCCUACCAAGGCGACGACGGGUAGCCGGCCUGAGAGGGUGACCGGCCACACUGGGACUGAGACACGGCCCAGACUCCUACGGGAGGCAGCAGCGGGGAAUAUUGGACAAUGGGCGAAAGCCUGAUCCAGCAACGCCGCGUGAGGGAUGACGGCCUUCGGGUUGUAAACCUCUUUCAGUAGGGACGAAGCUAACGUGACGGUACCUACAGAAGAAGCACCGGCCAACUACGUGCCAGCAGCCGCGGUAAUACGUAGGGUGCGAGCGUUGUCCGGAAUUAUUGGGCGUAAAGGGCUCGUAGGCGGUUUGUCACGUCGGGAGUGAAAACUCGGGGCUUAACUCCGAGCCUGCUUCCGAUACGGGCUGACUAGAGGUAUGCAGGGGAGAACGGAAUUCCUGGUGUAGCGGUGAAAUGCGCAGAUAUCAGGAGGAACACCGGUGGCGAAGGCGGUUCUCUGGGCAUUACCUGACGCUGAGGAGCGAAAGUGUGGGGAGCGAACAGGAUUAGAUACCCUGGUAGUCCACACCGUAAACGUUGGGCGCUAGGUGUGGGACUCAUUCCACGAGUUCCGUGCCGCAGCUAACGCAUUAGGCGCCCCGCCUGGGGAGUACGG